rnacentral:lncRNA from 1 species
GCCUUACCCAUUAUGCCUAGCUGGCAAGGACAGGGAAACAUGUGACCUUCCACCAGGGAGUAAAUUACAGCUAAGCAAGUCCAUUUGAGGAGGCAGUGUCUUUAGACAAAUAGCCUGACACUCCACAGAUGGAAACAAACCUGGGAACCUUGGCUGGGUUUUCUGAUGGGCAUCUGAAGCUUCAUUGAAGGGCAGGAUCUGAGAGCCGGAGGGGCAGAGAGAGGGAAUUGAGAAGUGAAUGGAGGCUUGGAUGCAGGCACUCACGGAGAACUCUCAGAGUGAAAAGAAAGCAACCAGGUAAAGGAAUCAUAGAAGGAGGAAGAAUACUUCCUGGAAGUUUCAUGAAUAUGCGCCUGAUGCUUUCACUCCAUAAACCUUCAUGUCCGGCUCCCAAUGAGCCAUGCCUCAUCUCACCAGCUGGACUCAUUAUGUGUGUUUUAAGUGGCUGAAUCAUCGCCUUUUCUCCCUCUCACAUUACUUCACAAACACUAAAAGGCAGAAUUGUCUUCUUUCCCAUGAUCUAGUCUCAUGUCUCAUAGCAAAGUAAUACCCAUUGAACUAAAAUAGCUGUCAACUUGCUAAUAAAUAAGAAGUAUUAAACUAAACUCACACUAAUGGAGCUGUGUAGGGGUGACAAGGUAUUCAGAGCCAGUCAAGCGUCCCAGCAGCUCACUCCUGAGGGCGCCACUUCAUAAACAGAGGCAUUGAUGGGCAUCCCUGAACGCCGGGGGCUUCCCAAUUCCCACAUGUCAUGAACAAGUGAGGACAGAUAUUAAUUGGAAUGGUACUUGAUAUCACCAUCAGAGUUAAACAAACUUGCCA